rnacentral:rRNA from 1 species
AGUGAACGCUGGCGGUAGGCCUAACACAUGCAAGUCGAACGGCAGCACAGUAAGAGCUUGCUCUUACGGGUGGCGAGUGGCGGACGGGUGAGGAAUACAUCGGAAUCUACUUUUUCGUGGGGGAUAACGUAGGGAAACUUACGCUAAUACCGCAUACGACCUACGGGUGAAAGCAGGGGAUCUUCGGACCUUGCGCGAUUGAAUGAGCCGAUGUCGGAUUAGCUAGUUGGCGGGGUAAUGGCCCACCAAGGCGACGAUCCGUAGCUGGUCUGAGAGGAUGAUCAGCCACACUGGAGCUGAGACACGGUCCAGACUCCUACGGGAGGCAGCAGUGGGGAAUAUUGGACAAUGGGCGCAAGCCUGAUCCAGCCAUACCGCGUGGGUGAAGAAGGCCUUCGGGUUGUAAAGCCCUUUUGUUGGGAAAGAAAAGCAGCAGGUUAAUACCCCGCUGUUCUGACGGUACCCAAAGAAUAAGCACCGGCUAACUUCGUG